GCUACCACUGGUGGUGCAUUCAGAGACCUCCCGUUAUCCCACGGGGGGCUCCAUGUGACACUUCAGUUGAAUUACCACAUUUCAACCCAUUUGUCGACCAUGAAGAAGGCGGACGGUGUGGAUUAAACCUAUUUCCUUUUCCUUUUCUUUUUGAUCGCCGUGGCUGGACUUCAGUUCCCCGAAUGGCUCUCCAUGGGCCGUGAAGGACUUGUUUUUUGUGGUCUGAAAUGAAAUAAUGGCGACACGUUGGACGGAUUCACCGCAGGACAAUGACGGGACUGAACAACGAGCCAUGUCACCAUCUUGCGAGGUAAGACGGUGUUGAUCUGCAGAAGUGUUCGCCCACUAUGUCUUCGCUGAAAUGUCAACGUUUUCUGAAGGUGCCAUCUUCAGCAGCGCUCUGGUUUGCCCUCCGAUACUCAACAGAUCUUUGAUACACUAUUACAUUUUAUAACGAUACACCAAACGUUUAAAAAUGUGUGUAUGGUGUUAUUUUUUUAAUCAUUGUCAUGUGCAAGUAACUUAUAAUAUGCCUUUUUCUAGCGAAUCGUGUUUGUCUAACCGUAGUGGAUGGUUUUCUUGAACUGUGCUUGUGAUGGAGUCAGGUCAGGUGGCUGAGAGUGGUUAUACAGGACAUAUUGACAGGGUUUUUGCAGGGCUACUCAGAUUGCUUAGCAACAGUGGCUUAAUCACGUCAUCCCCAAGAGAAUGUACACUUUCUGAAAAACUUGUGACAUCCCACAAAAGUGUGUGUUGUGUGCAUGUGAGAGAGAGAAUGGAGAGGAAGGGAACGUGUGAAAACUUGUGUGAAAGUGUGUGUGUACGCAUCACAUCUGCUCAUGUGAGGGGUUGACUGAGUUCAUAUUUUCCCUCCUCUGACACCAGUUUGGGAAGAGAGAGAGCGAUAGGCAGAGAGAGAGUGAGAGAGUGACUGACUGAGUGCGAGAGGGCUCAGAACAGCUCAGAAAUCUGUCAUUUCUGUGGUUUAAUUUAAAUCCUAC
ensembl:lncRNA